rnacentral:rRNA from 1 species
UACGUAGGGAGCAAGCGUUGUCCGGAAUCAUUGGGCGUAAAGCGCGCGUAGGUGGCCCCAUAAGUCCGCUGUGAAAGUCAAAGGCUCAACCUUUGAAAGCCGGUGGAUACUGUGGGACUAGAGUACAGAAGAGGCGAGUGGAAUUCCUGGUGUAGCGGUGGAAUGCGCAGAUAUCAGGAGGAACACCAAUAGCGAAGGCAGCUCGCUGGGACGUUACUGACACUGAGGCGCGAAAGCGUGGGGAGCGAACAGG